UAUUAUUUCCAGUCAUAAUUUAUCAUUUUUUAAAUUCGGUCUUCCACUCAAAAGUGAGUGGUUUGUCAGAGUAUGUUAUGGCUUAGACCAAUACAGGUCACUUCUUAACAAUUAGUGAGGAAUUAAUCAUUUGUGGUGAUAGACUUCUAAAAUUCACAUUGAGAAGACACUAAGGAUAGUAUGGCCAAAGUUAGCUCCUUUUUAUCCUGAGGAUAAACCAUUGCAAACUCAAUUGACAAGAGAAUGUAAUUUCUUAAUAAGAAUUUUUUUCUUAAAUCUAUAUUCAGCUCUCUAUUUCAGUGCUUCUCUCCUACCAGAGGUGCAAGGAGUGAUCCUAGAACCACAGAUACAGCCAAGACCACGGAGAGCUUUUGACGUCAGGGGUCCACUUUCUCCACUGAACCCUUGGAGGCAGAAUAUCCAGCUUCUGGAGAGAGUGGGAAAGGAUAAUAACAAAUUUCUUUCAACUGCUAAAACAUCAUACUUCUUCAGCAAAAGGAAUUCUUCUAGCAGAGCCCUCAUGGAUGAUAUCUGUCACACAUGCCAGCACCUGCAGUUUGGAAGGCAGUGGUGAAUGGAUCCAUGCAAUAUGUCUAGAAGAUAACAAGGAUGAGCGAGCCACCUGAUCUUGUCAUUUAUAAACUUUGAGAUUUACUUUGGUUUACUCUUGGUCUGAAAAUGGAAAGGCUCAAAUAAUGAAAUAAUCUUUUCAGAUUGGAAUUUACAUGGCCAUGAAAAUAUCCCUUUCUAUUCAGAAGAUUGAAAUAGAGGAAGCUUGAGAGACUCCUUUCUUUUAAAAGCAGCUCUCUAUCUGUUUCACUUAAAAGAUUUGUGGGAUUGAAAAUCACCUUACUGAAGUAGACAAGCUUUUAUUUUUUUAUUUUUUUAAGUGGUAGAGGAAGUCCAAAAAACGUAAUGAAAUGGUUUUUUGUUGCCUAACAUUGAAAGGAACUAGUAAAUAAAGGGUGAACUUCUUAAUUAUUCAAAAAUUACUUUUAAUGUUUUAGCUCAUCUUUUGCUGAUCUUCAGCCUUAUUCUUACUGUAUUUGUCAAAUCAACAAAGAUUUUAAUAUAGAAGUAGACGAGAUAUCUUUUGAGAUCAGAGUAGCUUGGUCUGUCUUCUAAAGUAAUAAAUACCUGUUAAAACUUGACGUAUUGUUCUGCACUGAAGGCAUACUAAAGUUUGAAUAAUACUGUCACAAAGUAGUUGUUUAAAGAGCAAAGGAAAUUAGUAGUAUUAGUGUAAGCCUAUAGGUGUGACUAAGUGUUGCAGAAUAGUUAUCCAAACUAUCAAUUAAUUGAUAAAAGUAGUUAUCAAAAUGUUUCACUUUCUCUGUUUGGUAUCUAUUAACUGGUCAGUUAAAAGCUAUUAAAGAAAUUUUUUAAAGUCAUCCGAUGCUGCCAGUUGUUUUAUUUUGAUAUAAAUUUUAAGAAUAGAAGUUCUAGAUUUAUUAAUAUAGAGGCAACUAAAAAGUUUAGAAUCUCAAAGGUUUUAGAAGCUGCAUUUCCUAAAAUAUAAUCCAGUGUUUAGUCUUUCUUUGCUGUCUGUGAGGACUGUUUUGUCCUGAUUAAUUGUAAACAAACUUUUGUAAGUGCUUAAAAGUAAGUUUAGAAGAUCAAUUUGAACUAAAAUUUUCCCAGAGAGCUCUGAAUCCUCACAUUGCAGCUCUUUAUUCCUGACUUGUUUUUGUUAAAUGUUAAUGACAGUUGGUUUACAAACACAUAAAAACUAAAAAACAACCACCCAACAUUUUAGAAAGAACUCAGGGAACUGAAAGUGAAAUUUGCUUGGAAAUUAAGUUAGUUGAAUUAUUUGAACCACAGUAUAAAUCACUUUAUGGCCUGUGAGAUUAUUAGCUUUUUAUUUCCAGCUUUGUAGAUGAAAAUUGGUUUAAUCUGGUAAUCUCAUGCUUUGAUUAAAUUUUAGCUCUGUUUCUUAGUGUGCAAAAGAAAUGUAAGUGCAUUUCUGUUUACCUCAUGCCACUGAAAGCUAUCUAAAAGUGAAACUUUUUGUAUGUUAAUGUGAACUGAUUUGUUUAUUUAAACUUUUAUUUUGAUACAUUUUUCUAUCAGAAUUUUUUAUAUUUCGUGUUACAAUAUGCAUCCUAUAUUUUUCAGUGUUAUUUUAUGACUAUUAAUAUAAGCUAAUUUUUUCUAGAAUGAGUAAUUGUGUUAAUGUUUGUAUUAUGUGAUCAUUUGAAAACUAAUAAAUAUUUUCUCCAUGAAAAAAUGCACUUACUGAUAAAUGGCUUAUUUCUGUUUCAGGAGUAGAAAGUGAAUACUGCAACAGUAUUUCUAAGUGUAUUUUAAUUUGAUGUGUCUUCCUCUAAGUAUUUCUGAAUAUAUAUAUUCUGUUCUCUGUAUAUUGUAAUUUUUUGAGGAAAAAACUUUUUUUAAACUGUUAAAAUGAUUCUUUGUAAGGUCAUGUGAAUGUAUGAAAUAGGUGGUUUGUUUAGUUUGAUUUUUUAUUUUCCUGAUUAACAUUAUCUUAGCAUUGGUUCUAGAGGUGAAUUUUUUUUAUGCCAUUUUUAUAUGUCAGUUUUGCAAACUAUUAAAACUCUCUUGGGUUAACAUUGUAAAUAUCAGGAGUAAUUUGGUCAAAUCUUUUAAAGAUAGAUUGAUCAAAGUAUAUAACCUGUUUACAAAAUAGCAUACAAAAACAGUACCUCUACCCAGAAAAAAAAAAAAAUUGAAAAUAAUGGCUGAUUGGAGAACUACCUAAUUGAUAAAUCCUGUUAACAAGAGAACAAAAAUGUUUUGUAUUUUAUUGUUCUUUUUGAACAAAUAAUUAUAGAAGGAGAAAUCUUGACCCUCACAGUCUCUUGCUUUUAACCUUAUCAAGACAGCAUGGAGAAGGGUAAAAUCUGGUUUUAAUGAUUUUUGUCUCUAUAGCUAUAUAACCUUACUUUAUUGAAGCCACUGGAACAGUUUUCCUUUUCUAUGCAGGAUCUGCUAGAAGCAAGAGGAUUUCUUUUUAGAUUUGAAGAAAAGUUAUAUAAGAAAUGGACUCAAAAUUAAAAGUAGACAUUAAAAUGGCAUCUUUGGCAAGAAAUAAAAAUUCAAUUAAUGACAACCUGUGGAUUAAAAUGAAAUAAUUUGGCUCCCCAAAGAAAUUAUACUCUGAGAAAACAAGAAUUAUAAAAGGAAAUUACAAUUUAGAAUAGCCACUAUAUUGGGGGUGAAUUUGGUAAAUUUGGGAAAGAUGAGUAAAAAUUCUGUGUGCAAAAUUUUGUUUUAAGAAUUAAAGCUAUUAAAAGAUUUACAGACAUAGUAUAUUUCAAUAGAAGGCUGUAUUUUACUUGAAUACAAGAAAAAUUUGCAAGCCUUUCCUGUAUGCGUAUAAAAGGGUAGGGGAUUUGGUGUUAAAAAAUAUCCAUACUGGAAACUUCAAAAAUAUUGCAAAGAUGAUGAUGAAAUGAGGGUUUUAAAUAAGUGAUUUUUCUUACAUGCACUCUUCUGUACAUCAUCAAUAGCCUUCAAAAUAAAAGUUUUAUGGAAUGUCAAA